UAGGAUGUUGGCUUAGAAGCAGCCAUCAUUUAAAGAGUGCGUAAUAGCUCACUAGUCGAGUGACACUGCGCCGAAAAUGUACCGGGGCUAAACAUAUUACCGAAGCUGUGGAUAGUCCUUUGGACAAUGGUAGGAGAGCGUUCUAAGGGCGUUGAAGCAUGAUCGUAAGGACAUGUGGAGCGCUUAGAAGUGAGAAUGCCGGUGUGAGUAGCGAAAGACGGGUGAGAAUCCCGUCCACCGAUUGACUAAGGUUUCCAGAGGAAGGCUCGUCCGCUCUGGGUUAGUCGGGUCCUAAGCUGAGGCCGACAGGCGUAGGCGAUGGAUAACAGGUUGAUAUUCCUGUACCACCUAUAAUCGUUUUAAUCGAUGGGGGGACGCAGUAGGAUAGGCGAAGCGUGCGAUUGGAUUGCACGUCUAAGCAGUAAGGCUGAGUAUUAGGCAAAUCCGGUACUCGUUAAGGCUGAGCUGUGAUGGGGAGAAGACAUUGUGUCUUCGAGUCGUUGAUUUCACACUGCCGAGAAAAGCCUCUAGAUAGAAAAUAGGUGCCCGUACCGCAAACCGACACAGGUAGUCAAGAUGAGAAUUCUAAGGUGAGCGAGCGAACUCUCGUUAAGGAACUCGGCAAAAUGACCCCGUAACUUCGGGAGAAGGGGUGCUCUUUAGGGUUAACGCCCAGAAGAGCCGCAGUGAAUAGGCCCAAGCGACUGUUUAUCAAAAACACAGGUCUCUGCUAAACCGUAAGGUGAUGUAUAGGGGCUGACGCCUGCCCGGUGCUGGAAGGUUAAGAGGAGUGGUUAGCUUCUGCGAAGCUACGAAUCGAAGCCCCAGUAAACGGCGGCCGUAACUAUAACGGUCCUAAGGUAGCGAAAUUCCUUGUCGGGUAAGUUCCGACCCGCACGAAAGGCGUAACGAUUUGGGCACUGUCUCAACGAGAGACUCGGUGAAAUCAUAGUACCUGUGAAGAUGCAGGUUACCCGCGACAGGACGGAAAGACCCCGUGGAGCUUUACUGUAGCCUGAUAUUGAAAUUCGGCACAGCUUGUACAGGAUAGGUAGGAGCCUUUGAAACGUGAGCGCUAGCUUACGUGGAGGCGCUGGUGGGAUACUACCCUAGCUGUGUUGGCUUUCUAACCCGCACCACUUAUCGUGGUUGGAGACAGUGUCAGGCGGGCAGUUUGACUGGGGCGGUCGCCUCCUAAAAGGUAACGGAGGCGCUCAAAGGUUCCCUCAGAAUGGUUGGAAAUCAUUCAUAGAGUGUAAAGGCAUAAGGGAGCUUGACUGCGAGACCUACAAGUCGAGCAGGGUCGAAAGACGGACUUAGUGAUCCGGUGGUUCCGCAUGGAAGGGCCAUCGCUCAACGGAUAAAAGCUACCCCGGGGAUAACAGGCUUAUCUCCCCCAAGAGUUCACAUCGACGGGGAGGUUUGGCACCUCGAUGUCGGCUCAUCGCAUCCUGGGGCUGUAGUCGGUCCCAAGGGUUGGGCUGUUCGCCCAUUAAAGCGGUACGCGAGCUGGGUUCAGAACGUCGUGAGACAGUUCGGUCCCUAUCCGUCGUGGGCGUAGGAAAUUUGAGAGGAGCUGUCCUUAGUACGAGAGGACCGGGAUGGACAUACCUCUGGUGUACCAGUUGUCGUGCCAACGGCAUAGCUGGGUAGCUAUGUGUGGACGGGAUAAGUGCUGAAAGCAUCUAAGCAUGAAGCCCCCCUCAAGAUGAGAUUUCCCAACUUCGGUUAUAAGAUCCCUCAAAGAUGAUGAGGUUAAUAGGUUCGAGGUGGAAGCAUGGUGACAUGUGGAGCUGACGAAUACUAAUCGAUCGAAGACUUAAUCAA
rnacentral:rRNA from 1 species